rnacentral:tRNA from 1 species
GAAGGUCUAGCUCAGUGGUGGAGCAUGUGCUUAGCAUGCACAGGGUCCUGGGUUCCAUCCUCAGCACCUCCA